GAUGAACGCUGGCGGCGUGCUUAACACAUGCAAGUCGAACGGAACACCCUUGAAGGAGUUUUCGGACAACUGAGAGGACUGUUUAGUGGCGGACGGGUGAGUAACGCGUGAGUAACCUGCCUUGGAGUGGGGAAUAACACAAAGAAAUUUGUGCUAAUACCGCAUAAUGCAGCUGAGUCGCAUGGCUCUGGCUGCCAAAGAUUUAUCGCUCUGAGAUGGACUCGCGUCUGAUUAGCUAGUUGGCGGGGUAACGGCCCACCAAGGCGACGAUCAGUAGCCGGACUGAGAGGUUGGCCGGCCACAUUGGGACUGAGACACGGCCCAGACUCCUACGGGAGGCAGCAGUGGGGAAUAUUGGGCAAUGGGCGCAAGCCUGACCCAGCAACGCCGCGUGAAGGAAGAAGGCUUUCGGGUUGUAAACUUCUUUUCUCAGGGACGAAGCAAGUGACGGUACCUGA
rnacentral:rRNA from 1 species